GAGUUUGAUCAUGGCUCAGAUUGAACGUUGGCGGCAGGCCUCAUACAUGCAAGUCGAGCGGAAACGAUGGGAGCUUGCUCCCAGGCGUCGAGCGGCGGACGGGUGAGUAACGCGUAGGAAUCUACCCAGUAGCGGGGGAUAGCCCGAGGAAACUCGGAUUAAUACCGCAUACGCCCCACGGGGGAAAGGCCGGGAUCUUCGGACCGAUCACUAUUGGAGGAGCCUGCGUUGGAUUAGCUAGUUGGUAGGGUAAAGGCCUACCAAGGCUACGAUCCAUAGCUGGUCUGAGAGGACGAUCAGCCACACUGGAACUGAGACACGGUCCAGACUCCUACGGGAGGCAGCAGUAGGGAAUAUUGUGCAAUGGGGGAAAGCCUGACGCAGCAACGCCGCGUGUGUGAAGAAGGCUCUAGGGUUGUAAAGCACUUUAAGCAGGGAGGAAGGCCAGUUAGUUAAUAUCUGACUGGAUUGACGUUACCUGCAGAAUAAGCACCGGCUAACUCCGUGCCAGCAGCCGCGGUAAUACGGAGGGUGCAAGCGUUAAUCGGAAUUACUGGGCGUAAAGCGCGCGUAGGCGGUUAGUUAAGUUAGAUGUGAAAGCCCAGGGCUCAACCUUGGAACUGCAUUCAAAACUGCUAGGCUAGAGUACGGUAGAGGGGGGUAGAAUUCCACGUGUAGCGGUGAAAUGCGUAGGAUAUAGGAAGGAAUACCAGUGUCGAAGGCGGCCACCUGGACUGAUACUGACGCUGAGGUGCGAAAGCGUGGGGAGCAUACAGGAUUAGAUACCCUGGUAGUCCACGCUGUAAACGAUGUCAACUAGCCGUUGGGGGGGUAAUCCCUUUAGUGGCGCAGCUAACGCUUUAAGUUGACCGCCUGGGGAGUACGGUCGCAAGAUUAAAACUCAAAUGAAUUGACGGGGGCCCGCACAAGCGGUGGAGCAUGUGGUUUAAUUCGACGCAACGCGAAGAACCUUACCUGGUCUUGACAUCCUGUGAACUUUCUAGAGAUAGAUUGGUGCCUUCGGGAACACAGUGACAGGUGCUGUAUGGCUGUCGUCAGCUCGUGUUGUGAGAUGUUGGGUUAAGUCCCGCAACGAGCGCAACCCUUAUCCUUAUUUGCCAGCACUUCGGGUGGGAACUCUAAGGAGACUGCCGGUGUGAAACCGGAGGAAGGUGGGGAUGACGUCAAGUCCUCAUGGCCCUUACGUCUGGGGCUACACACGUGAUACAAUGGUCGGUACAGAGGGUUGCCAAGCCGCGAGGUGGAGCUAAUCCCAGAAAGCCGGUCGUAGUCCGGAUUGGAGUCUGCAACUCGACUCCAUGAAGUCGGAAUCUCUAGUAAUCGAGAAUCAGCAUGUCGCGGUGAAUACGUUCCCGGGCCUUGUACACACCGCCCGUCACACCAUGGGAGUGGAUUGCACCAGAAGUAGGUUGCCUAACCUUCGGGAGGGCGCUUACCACGGUGUGCUUCAUGACUGGGGUGAAGUCGUAACAAGGUAACC
rnacentral:rRNA from 1 species